UGUCGGACUGUAGCUGUUAGAGCAACAAAACAACGAUUAAUGGAGAAAACUACAAAUUGAAUCGAUUGUAUUAGUGGAGAACAUCGAGAACUUCUCUUAGUUGAACGAUUCAAUUUCUGAUCUUCUCCACAAGAAUCUUCAAAUAAGUUUCCAACGAUUAAUAGAGGAAACUACGAAUUCAAUCGACAGUUCCUGUUUUCUUCAAUUAGUUUGAGGAUGAGACAAAGCCAGAUACAUGAGAUGGUAUAUGUAGCAAAUGCUGCUCCAAAGUUUGCAUAUGAAGAUGAUAACAAGAAAAGAAGUUGAAUCCUGAACCUUUUUAAGGGUGAACCCAGAAAACCAGAAAUGGAUACAUCCCAGAGUCGUUAUGCCGCUAGAAGAAGUAGGAUAACCCAAGAACAACGAGAUACUGAGAACGAAAGACGUCGUGUUCGCGACAGACAGCGUCGAGAAAACAUGACAACUGAGGAGAGCUUGCUACAAAAUGAGCGUAGGAGAAAUCAAAAUGGAGGGAGGCAACAAACUGUUGAAUCUGAAACAACAGAUGUGGAAACAUCCCAAAGUCAUUUUGUCACUCGAAGAAACCUGCUAACCGAAGAACAACGUGCUACUGAAACAGAAAGGCACCGUGUUCACGAGAGACAACGUCAAGAAAACUUAACAGUUGAGGAGAGGUUGCUACAAAAUGAGCGUAGGAAAAGUCAGUAUAGAGCGGGGCAACAAAAUGUCGAAUAUGAAACAACAGAUGUGGAUACAUCCCAAUCCCAAAUUUGGUUUGCCACUAGAAGAAACCUGUUGAAUGGAGAGCAACAAGCUACUAUAACAGAAAGACGUCAUGUUCGCUAUACAAAUAGUCGACAAAACUUGACAGCUGAGGAGAGAUCAUUGCAAAAUGAGCGUAAUAAAAGCGAGUAUAGAGCGCGUAAACAUCUUCCGUCGUCAUCAACAAGCACUGCUGAAGCAAACUUAUUUGAACAUAUAAUGCAACAACACGUUUAAGAAGAAGUGGAGAGAAUAAUCGGUCACGGCUCGGCGUUGUCGAUGAACAAUACUGCUGGGUUUUUGGAAUUAGGACCAGAUCAUAGAGCUCCACUACGUACGAGAUAUGAAGAUAUGGUCGAGUUUGAUGAGAAAGUCGACAGAUUUGAAGACGUUCAUGAUGAGAGUCACCAAGAGGAUCCGCAGGAAGGUCAAGCGGAGAUUCCUCAAUCAAAUCGUGCUAACAUCAAUACAAAUAGGAGAACAUUGUUGCCUAAUAGGGGUUUCCAUAAUGCUGCAAGGGGUUUCAUCGACGAACACUCACUUCCACUCCUGCGACUGAACACCAUCAGCUCAUGCAACCAUUGUGGAGCUAAGUUGUUUCCUCAUGAGACUAAUCAGUUCUGUUGUUUGAACGAAAAAGUUAAACUACCCGAUAUUCCCGUACCUCCGGAAAUCAUGCUAUUGUAUACUGUACAAUCAGAACUUGGAACUUAUUUCAGGCAUGAUCGUUCGUUUGUUGAACCAUGUUUUUGCCUUCACAUCCAUUGGGGUACGUAUUGAUCACAACACAGCUAAUUCUAAGAAGGGAAUAUAUACAUAUCGAGCUCAAGGUACUAUGUAUCACAAAAUUGGUAGCCUCAUUCCAGAACCAAGUGAUCGACCAAGGUUCCUUCAGAUGUACGUCUACGACACCGAACAUGAAUUGGAGAAUCGAUUGAAGGAACAAUAGUUUGCAUCCAAGAAAAACAAGGGUAAGGAACAUGAACAAGAGCCACCUGAUAGGGAAUAAACUCUGAAUAGAGAAGUGCUCGCUAUAUUGAAAGCAAUGUUGGACAGAUACAACCCAUAUGUACGUGUAAUUCGUCAGAUUUCUCAAGGUACUUACAUGAUGUUCGUCUACACAUAAAGGAGCAACCAACAUUUCGGCGGACGUAUAACAUGCCGACAUCACCACAAGUAGCGGCUGUAUUAGUUGAGGGAGAAGAACCGAGUGAAGUGCUUCCCAGAGACAUUAUUGUUCAAAUAAAUUUCGAGAACCUUUUGAAUGUUCCCGACACAACAUGUUUCUACGAUCCGCUGAAGUAUCCCUUACUGCAUCCUUAUGGAAGUUUUGCUUGGGAUUUGACGAUUUUCAGUGAUAAUUCAAGAAGGAUAAGUUGUCGAGCAUACUACGCGUAUAUGCUGCAGAUUCGGGAAAACCGGGACUCGAUUCUGUUACGUGGUGGGAAACUACUGCAACAGUACGUGGUCGACAAUUACGUAAAGAUUUCCACAAUGCAGCUGAGAUGGGUUCGAGAUAACCAGAGAACAUUCCGAGCUGAUUGGUAUUCAGGCGUUCUUGAUGCAAUGGAUUAAAAUACAAGUGAUAUUGGACAGCGGGUCAUUCUGCCUCCUUCUUACACGGGAAGCCCACGUGAAAUGCAUCAAAGAUAUCAUGACGCUAUGGAAUUGGUUCAGAAGUACGGCAAGCCGGAUUUGUUUAUAACCAUGACGUGUAAUCCUAAUUGGGAGGAGAUCCAGAGAGAAAUAAAACCAGGGCAACAAGCACAUGAUAAGCCAGAUUUGACGAGGAAAGUUUUUCAUUCUAAAUUCGAAGAAUUGAAGGUGGAUCUGUUCACUAAAGGGGUUCUUGGAAAAGUUGCUGCACAUGUUCAUGUUAUUGAAUUUCAGAAGAGAGGUCUUCCACACGCACAUAUUCUUAUCAUCCUGCAAGAGAGAGACAAGUUGCGUAGCCCAGAUGACUACGAUCGGGUUGUUCGUGCAGAAAUACCAGAUGAGAAAGUUGAACCAGAGUUGUAUGCUUCUGUCCUCAAACAUAUGAUACAUACGCCAUGUGCUUUGUAUGCUGAUAGUGUCUGUAAGAAGGAUGGAAAAUGCAAGAAACGUUUUCCGAAGAAGUUUGUGGCGGAAACUCUAGAAGGCCAAGAUUCAUAUCCAGUCUAUAGAAGGCACGAUGAUGGUAGAGCAAUAACACUCGCCAAUGGAAAAGUUGUGAAUAAUAGUUGGGUUGUUCCGUAUAAUCCUUGGCUUUUGAAGAAGUAUAAUUGUCAUAUUAAUGUGGAAGUUUGUUCAAGUGUGCAGUCUGUAAAAUAUUUGUACAAAUACGUGUGGAAAGGGGUUGAUCGUGUCUCAAUGGAAGUUUCAAGCGAGAAAGAGGAGGAAGAUGAGAUAAAGCAGUUUGUAGAUGCUCGAUGGGUUUGCCUGCAAGAAGCUCUAUGGAGGAUAUACAAGUAUCAAAUGAAUAAGAUUUAUCCUCCUGUCUUGUCAUUACAAGUACACCUAAAGGAUCGAAAAAAGAUUCUACUACCUGAAGGAAAUACUGUGAGAGAUGUGAUACGACGAGAAAAUGCGUCCUAUACUCAAAUGACUGAGUAUUUUAAGAAAAACCAAGAAUAUGAGUUUGCAAGGACUCUAUUCUACAAGGAAUUUCCCGAGCAGUACGUGUGGGAUAAGCCACUAAAGCAAUGGCAAAGACGGCGACGGAACAACAAAGUCAUCGGCAGAGCUAACGUUUUUUUACCCGCAACGAAAGUUAUCAUUUGAGACUUCUGUUGGAUAAUAUUAGAGGACCAAAAUCUUUCGAGGACUUGCUAAAGGUGGGAGAUCAGACGUUUUCGACGUAUAAAGAAGUAGCAGAACAUUUGUGUUUGUUAGAAAGUGAUACUCCAAUCCGUGAUACACUUCUCGAAGCCGUACAAGUAGAGAUGUCCUGCUCUUUAAGAAGACUCUUUUGCAUGUUGUUAGACUUAUGCAAUCCUACAGGGGUUUGUGAAUUGUGGGAUGAGUUUUUCCCAUACAUGAUUGAAGAUUACUGCCAAUCCAACACAGAAACAGGGGCAAUUAAUCUACUUUUACGGGAAAUAAGGUCUGUUUUCGGUGAAAAGUUAAUGGCCACAUAUAAACUCCCACCAAUCACUGAAGACAUAGGAACUUCAGGAGUAAACGAGUUUGUGUCUGAGGAAGUCAGAAUUCCGGUUCCUCCAGAAUAUUUAUCAUCUAUUGAUAUGUUAAACGCGGACCAGAAAUAUGCAUUUGAUAGGACAAACCUUGUAUUUCCUGUACUACUCUAUUCUCAUUAUUGGUGCGGCAUGACGACUGAGUGAUCGCUCUCAGCAGAGCAACACGAAUCUCCAAGCAUUAAAUAAGGAGACAUGUACGAA